rnacentral:misc_RNA from 1 species
GAUGAAGAACGUAGCGAAAUGCGAUACUUGGUGUGAAUUGCAGAAUCCCGUGAACCAUCGAGUCUUUGAACGCAAGUUGCGCCUCGAGCCAUUAGGUUGAGGGCACGUCUGCCUGGGCGUCACAUAUCGUUGCCUGAUGCCAGUUUCCUCGUGAUGGGUGACUGUGCAGGGCGAAUGAUGGCUUCCCGUGAGCAUUGUUGCCUCAUGGUUGGUUGAAAAUUGAGUCCUUGGUAGGGAGCGCCGUGAUAGAUGGUGGUUGAGUGACGAACGAGACCCAAUCAUGUGAGACCCCUACCGAAUUUGGCCUUCAUGACCCACAUGCGUCUUUGGAACGCUCAUGACGAGACCUCAGGUCAGGCGGGGCUACCCGCUGAGUUUAAGCAUAUCAAUAAGCGGAGGA